GCCACUGUGAGUGAAGGCUACGCAGGUAACCCACGGCGAUGACGUCACCCCUCGCAUAUUUGAGCACCCCAGCUUGCCCGGUAGGCGGCGGCAUCGCGAUGAGCGCACACUGGAGGAUAGCAGGAGCAGGAGGAGGAGGUAUCGCGAGAGCAGCGGCGUACCGCGCGACCGCAGCGCUGGAUGGAUGGCGCCGGUGGGGGCUGCGUGGAGCCGAGCUGAGCGGAUACGCCCACGGCUCAGCCUCCUCUCCGCCGUUAAAUCACACGGUGGGACACGCGAGCGGACGGAGACUGUUGUCGACUGCAUCCGGGGGCAGGAAAGGACAUGGGAGCGUCUGGCCGGCGCAAACAACAUUCGUUUGACAGGAGCCGCCAGAGGACGACUUGCCAAAGGACAAGUGACAAACAGAUGCCAACAGCGGCUCUGGCAGGGAGCAGGCGGAUUCUGAAGAAGUGAAGCACGGCUGGAGAGGGGCCGGCUUGCAUGGGGGCCAAAUCCCCGUCCAAGACACACUGCUGCGCCUCCGUCCACCGCCUCCGUCCUCUCUCCUCUUUUCUCCCAUUCGCCUUCUGUCACUCUCAUGGGAGUGACAUAGAAGCCUCCGAAGGAACGGGGGCGUCCACGUAGGGAUGUCGUGGAAAAGGAACUACUUUGCGUCCGGCGGCGGAGCGGUCAGCGGGGUGCAGGGGCUGGCGACCCCAAGAACCAUGACCUCUAUCGCGCCCAGCAAAGGCCUGAGCAAUGAGCCGGGACAGAACAGCUGCUUCCUGAACAGUGCCCUGCAGGUUUUGUGGCAUCUUGACAUCUUCCGCAGGAGCUUUCGCCAGCUGACCACGCACAAAUGCAUGGAAGAUUCUUGCAUCUUCUGUGCACUCAAGAGCAUCUUUGCCCAGUUCCAGUUCAGCAGCGAGCGGGUGUUGCCAUCCGACGCGCUUCGGAGCGCCCUGGCCAAGACCUUCCAGGACGAGCAGCGCUUCCAGCUGGGUAUCAUGGACGACGCCGCGGAGUGCUUUGAAAAUCUUCUGAUGCGGAUUCACUUCCACAUCAGCGCAGAAAGCCGAGAAGAUAUCUGCACGGCCAAACACUGCAUCCCGCACCAGAAGUUUGCCAUGACCCUGUUUGAGCAGUGCGUGUGUACCAGUUGCGGCGCCACGUCGGACCCGCUACCCUUCAUUCAGAUGGUUCAUUACAUAUCUACCACAUCCCUAUGUAACCAAGCGGUGAAGAUGCUGGAGUGUCGCGAGAAAGCCACACCGGACAUGUUUGGGGAACUUCUUCGCAACGCCAGCAACAUGGGAGACCUGCGCAACUGCCCUAGUAACUGCGGAGAGGUGUUACGCAUCCGCCGCGUGCUGAUGAACUCGCCAGAGAUCGUCUCUAUCGGGCUGGUGUGGGACUCGGACCACUCUGACCUGGCUGAGGACGUCAUACACAGCCUGGGCACCUGCCUGCGCCUGGGAGACUUGUUCUACCGUGUGACAGAGGAGCGAGCUCGCCAGGCAGAGCUCUACUUGGUGGGCAUGGUGUGCUACUACGGCAAGCACUACUCCACCUUCUUCUUCCAGACCAAGAUACGCAAAUGGAUGUACUUCGACGAUGCCCACGUCAAAGAGAUUGGCCCUAAGUGGAAGGACGUGGUGUCCCGCUGUAUCAAAGGCCAUUAUCAGCCACUGCUUCUGCUCUACGCCGACCCCCGUGGGACGCCGGUGAUACUGCAAGAGAGCGCAAGCCCCUACGCCGGCACCGACCCGCAACUGGAGCUCCAGCACGGCAGCAGCAAGGCCGGCUACGACAGCGAAGACUCGGGUCGAGAGCCCUCCAUUUCUAGCGACACCCGCACGGACUCAUCGACGGACAGCUCAAGUCACCGCGCCUACCGCAGCCGGCCGCUGCACCAGUCCACGGGCAGCCACCUGUCCAGCGACUCUCAGACCACCGUGGUCCCCAAUUACGAUCUCGGAACGCCGUCACACACUGCCGACACAGGAGAAUUAGCAGUGGAGGGCCCUCCCCGGCCUCCCUCACCCCCCCUGCAAGAGUACAAGGAGACGGCCGUCUUCCUGCUCUCAUCACGGCGGCCGCUCACUUCCUCUUCGUCCUCCUCUCGGCCCCUGUCCUCCUCUUCCUCUUCGGGGGUGGGGGGCUGCGAGAGUGGGGUCGGGGGGCCUCACUGGGAGAAUGAGAGCACCAGCAGCGAAAGCAAGUCCAGUUCCUCUGGUGGCUGCUACCGCCCCACCUGGAGGCCCCGAAGAGAAGCUCUGAACAUCGACAGCAUCUUCUCAGGCCACAGCCAACGGAUCUGCGCUCAGGGCUACCACACCCUGCCGGGACCCUCUCACCCGCCUCCACCCCAGCUGGCCAUACCCUGCCUGCGGCCCACCACGCCUACACCGCGGAGCUCACAACCCUCGGAGGGCAGGGAGGCUGCAGUGCUGGAGGCCAGAUCCAGGCUGAUUGGGCAGCCCAGAUCUACGAUGGGCCCCCCUGCUCCUCCGCCUCUGAGGGGGGUGGAGCACCAACCUCGCCUGAUACAGAGGAUGGAGAGCGGCUACGAAAGCAGCGAGAGAAACAGCAGCAGCCCUGACAGGGAGGUGGGGCAACAAAAACGGGCGCUAAUGUCCGGACCAUCAUGGCGCUCAGUGCCCAAGUCAAAGAGCACCGGCGCUAUCCUACAGGAGUCACCUUCACCUGGCUGGUGUCGCACCGCCAACCCUGGACGCAGCGAGCUGGAUGAGCUCCAGGAGGAAGUGGCCAGGAGAGCCCGCCAGCAGGAGCAGCAGAAGCGCAAGGAGGCAGAGCAAGAGGCGGCCAUGGGCUUCAACCCCAAACCUAGCAAAUACAUGGACCUGGAUCAGCUCCAGCACCAGGCUGUGCUCAGACCCCUGCAUGAGGCUAGCGCUCCGAGCGGCUCGACCGUAGCCGCGUGCAUGAGGAGCGCUGGCGGCCCGCUCAAAGGCAGGCAGGAACAGGAAGCGCAACAGCGGGAGUCAGGAAGCACCCCCUGCCCACAGGGGCCUCGCAGUGAACAGCCAGGCCCGGUCCAAGUACUGCUGACACCCAAUCAGAAGGAGGAAGAGGACCAUGACCAGGAAGAGGACGCAGCUCUGAGCCAAGACCCGCCUCCUCUGCCUCCACCUCCAACCUAUCGCCACCCGGUGACUCCUCCCCAUCCAGCGCUAACCCUCAGCAUCACCCACCCGUGCGCCCCCUCCAGUGACGUCAGUGGGGGGGUGAGGCUGUGUGAGUUUCUCCAAGCUGGGGGGGUGAGCGUCAGACCCUUGGGGAGGCACUUGGCUAUUUCCCUGCCGUCGCUUCCGCUGUGCUUUUGGGAGGCGCCGGUUACGCUCCCCCAGCCUCCGCCGCCCCCCGUCACCAAACCUAUCACGCCUCUCUGGCAGCCCCCCCAGCCCAGUUCCACCUCAGCCCCUCAGCAUUGGCCGCCCUCCGACGGAGCCACCCGCCAUUGGUCCUCCUGGAGUCUAAAUCGCCCUGACGCCAUGGUGACACCCUACGACACCCCACCGGACCGCUACGCCGCCAUCCCUUUGCAAGCGCCCAGGCCCGGUCGGCACCCCGCUCGGGGGAACUACGGCUUCCAGUAUGCCUCGGGGCAACACGGCUGUGACCGUGAGGAGCCGGAACUAACAGAGCUCACGGAGCUUGACACCCUUUACCAGGCCAGUCUGCAGGCUGGGAGGACAGGCUGCAGCCCAUCAGAGCGACUCAUCUCCAGGGUUGGAGGGCCAACUCGCUCUAGAACCCCCAACGCAGACAUGGAGAGGAGCGUGUUUGGGCCAGACGGCGCCAGCACCCCCACCUACCUCAACAAGCCAAUGAUGUUGCAGGGACUGCGUUUAGGGGCGGGGCCAAACGAGGAGGGGGACAACCCGAGGAGAAUGGGACGCAGCCUGAGCGGCACAGUCGUGGUGACCCCACGACACGCACGUCUGACCGCCACCCGCAGCUUCGCAAAGCAGGCUGAUGUCAGUGCCUCCUCCUCCCAUUGCUUGCUUCCUCUGUCCUGAGUCCCUGUUGCUAUUCCACCGCCAUCACCUCCUCCAUCCUCUUCAUCACCAAAACCCUGUCAUCACCACCUCCCUUCUUUACCUCACAGGAGUUGUCGGGCAGCGCUGGGAGUUUCUGGCUGUGUCUGACCGGGGUCAAACUGUCCUCCAACCAGGGUCGUGCUCAGCCUCACUGAACCCUAAGAGCCCGCUUUGACGGGUGUGGAUCGGACGAAAGAUGCUCCUCUCCCGGAAUGCCGCUAACACGCAAACACCCACGCACGCGCACACCCACCUGCAACGCAACGUAGAGACCCCCUGCUUUGCCCCCUCCCUCGCCACACCUUCGUCCCUUGCCCCACUACUCUGUCUAUGCAGUCACAGUUGACCCUGACAACCUCAAACUUCUCCUGAUGUUGCUCCCCUUACGACACUUUCCUGGGGCAGAUGUGGGGACGCUCCGAGUAGCCGCGCCUCUUCCUCUUUCUCCACGGGCAUUUCCUGGCGGAUGCACACACGUAGCAGCGGAACUGUAUAUCUGAUAGACAGCCAUAAUUUUUCUUUUUAUGUUUUUUUGCCCGAGGCCGUGUACAGAACAUGUAUGAACUCUAUGUUAACAAAUAAGACCUUAUGGAACGUUAAAGAAUAUUCAACAUAGAAGUGGGGGUGCACUUCACAAGUGUCGAAGCAGGACAUUGUUUGCCCCCCCCCCUCCCCAACCACGCCGCCCUCCUCCUCUUUCUGACUUUUCCCCCAAGCUCACCUACCUGAAUGACAGCUCUCCCGUUUCUACCGGGAGAUUAAACAAGAAAAGCGCCUCUUCUGUUAAAUCUUAUCAUAUCUGACACCUUUUUGAAUUUUUGCUCUAUUUUCUUCCAAAUAGGAGGGGUUAUGUCAGACUAAUGUUAGGCUUUGGAUUAAGGUUGCAUAAAAACAGUCUAGGGUUACGUACUGUGGAUAUAAUUAGUCUUCACACCCUUCUCUAAAUGCCACUUUUUCACGAUAUGACAAAUAGAUGAAGAUAAAUUAAGAUUUACAGGAGUUUUAAUGUAAUUGGUUGAUCAGGGGUGUGUAGACUUUUUAUUUCCAUUCUGUGUUUGUCAGUCUAGUCUGGGUGAACCUUAACCGUAGUAGCAAGGCGUGACCAGGUGAGAAUGUAGCAUGGGCUUUCUUAACGGAACCAAGCUUUGACUCUAGUGCACUUUGCGAAGCGGAUGCGAUGGUAGAAGAAGUGCACUUUUUUCAGGAAGGCUGCUUGAAUGAAAAGGGGAUGCUUGUUUCACUUUUAAAUGGUCCUCAGGUUAAAAAAAAAUCCGUGAUAAACUUUAUUAUACUGAAUAGGCUAAGAUAUACACGUUGCUUUAUACGCUGUAUUAAGAGGUCUAUUUUCAGCCGGUGACGCGCUGAGAUGUCAAGCAGUUGUACAGUCACGCCCCCCUUUACUAAGCUACAUUAUUAUGCUUUAUGCUGUUCAUGUAUAAAAAAAAAAAAAAAAGUGAAAAUAGAUCGUUGUAACUAAACCAAAGGUUGGCAUUAUUUACCAGAGAUGUUUUCAUUUCUCUAUUUUAUUUUCAAUGUUAUUUUGAGGUUGCGGGAGAAUGUAGCCCAAUUGUAGCGCUUCAGUCCGCUAUGCAAGUCGAGCCUCCUCAGGAGGACCAUCACAACAAAACGCCCACAAGAUUUCAUGUUUAAUGCUGCUGGUGAACUUUGUUGUGCUGCAUCUAUUUACGCUAUAGUUUCAACCAAUGGAAUGCAAAAACAAAAUCGCUAAAAGAGGGGGAUAAGGGAGAAAGAGAGGGAAUGAAUGUAAACUAAAGGAUCAGAGCGCACGAGGAAGCAAAAGAAGCCGAUGUUUGUGUGUGUGUGUGUGUGUGUGUCAAAUUAAGGGGGGGUAGUAGGGUGGUCAUAGGGGUUAAAAAAGGAACCUGUAUUUUUGCAAUAAAGUUAUUACUAAUGCACUCCCACAGGGAGUAUAACCACCAUAA